AUUUAUAAAGGUUAUAACCCUUUUCUUUUUA
rnacentral:tRNA from 3 species